UACAGAGGUCUCAAGCGUUGUUCGGAUUCAUUGGGCGUAAAGGGUGCGUAGGUGGCGAUGAAAGUUCGAUGUGAAAUCUCCGGGGCUUAACCCGGAAAAGGCAUUGAAAACUCUGUCGCUGGAGGUUUGGAGGGGGGACUGGAAUUCUUGGUGUAGCAGUGAAAUGCGUAGAUAUCAAGAGGAACACCAGUGGCGAAGGCGGGUCCCUGGACAACACCUCGACACUGAGGCACGAAAGCUAGGGGAGCAAACAGGAUUAGAAAACCCC
rnacentral:rRNA from 1 species